UUGGAGGGCAAGUCUGGUGCCAGCAGCCGCGGUAAUUCCAGCUCCAACAGCGUAUGUUAAAGUUGUUGCAGUUAAAAAGCUCGUAGUUGAAUUUCGGGAUCAAUGUUUCGGUCAUGCCGUUGGUAUGUACUGAUAUUAUUGAUUUCUCACCUUCUAAAGAACCGUAAUGCCAUUAAUUUGGUGUCACGGGGAAUUAGGACUGUUACCUUGAAAAAAUUAGAGUGUUUAAAGCAGGCUCACGCUUGAACACAUUAGCAUGGAAUAAUGAAAUAGGACAUCCGAUUCUAUUUUGUUGGUUUCUAGGAUCGAUGUAAUGAUUAAUAGGGAUAGUUGGGGGCAUUAGUAUUCAAUUGUCAGAGGUGAAAUUCUUGGAUUUAUUGAAGACUAACUACUGCGAAAGCAUUUGCCAAGGAUGUUUUCAUUAAUCAAGAACGAAAGUUAGGGGAUCGAAGACGAUCAGAUACCGUCGUAGUCUUAACCAUAAACUAUGCCGACUAGGGAUCGGAUGAUGUUAAUUUUUUAAUGACUCAUUCGGCGCCUUACGGGAAACCAAAGUGUUUGGGUUC
rnacentral:rRNA from 1 species